UACGGAGGGUGCGAGCGUUGUCCGGAAUCAUUGGGCGUAAAGGGCGCGUAGGUGGCCACUUCAAGCGUGCGGUGAAAGUCGGGGGCUCAACCCCUGAUCGGCCGUGCGAACUGGGGGGCUGGAGCACUGUAGAGGCAGGCGGAAUUCCGGGUGUGAGCGGUGGAAUGCGUAGGAGAUCCGGAAGAACACCGGUGGCGAAGGCGGCCUGCUGGGCAGUUUUGCUGACACUGAGGCGCGACAGCGUGGGGAGCAAACAGG
rnacentral:rRNA from 1 species